GUCUGCUACAGAUAUACUGUUUAUGAUGAAGGACUAUGGCGUGCAUUCUCAUACUAUAGCUUGCAAGCAUUCGGCAUGCACUAUCAGCAGUGACCAGCACAUAGUGCCAUAUCAGAACAAUUAUAAUUCCUAUUAUCCUCAGCCAGUAAUGGAGAUGCAAUACGAUUAAAUCCAGAAAUGUGGUUUAUGAGUAACAUGCAGUAAGAUUACCAUGUGCACACUAUAUACCUGGCAUCACAGAUAUCAGGCGGCCAAGCUCCCAUUCGUGUUUGUUUAAAGGACCACUAUAGUGCCAGGAAAACAUACUCGUUUUCCUGGCACUAUAGUGCCCUGAGG